CGGGGCCCCCUACAAGUCUACUGGGCAAAGAUCGCGGAGCACCCUCUCGGUACCAGGCACGGUGCCCAGCCCUAGGGAUUCCAUAUGAGUAAGGAGAGAUACUGCCAGCACAGCGAGCAAACCAGGGAAGCUGAGCCUAGGAGCAGGGGACGUGUGAUUUGACGGCAGACAGCAGUAUGCACAGGCCUGGAGGGGCAGUUGGGUUGGAGCCCCAAGGGACAGCGGGGACAGCAGGGACUGAACCAAGGGUAUGGUCCAGAAGAGUGAAAACCGAAGUACCCACGGAAGAAGACCGAAGCCCUAACUGCUCCCUCCAGGCUCCAGUCCCGCGUCAGGGGCCAGUCCGGGUUUGGGGAGGACGCCCAGGCGCCCUCUCUUCCUAGUUCCCAAAGCCCCUCGAUGCAGUCAGCCGCCCUGAAAUACACAGAUUCCUGAGGAAGCUUACACACCCACGUCAUAGAGGCAUUCAACACAAGCAUACAAGGGCAACGAAUUUGAAUUCCAGAAUUUUCUCCAAAUAAAAUAAAGCUGUGGGAGGUGAUGCUCAGCCUCUAGACCCCGAGGUGGGGAGGAGGCACCAGAGAAGGAGUUUGUUGGAUACCCUACAGGGCUAAAGGGAACCCCUCCAGCCAGCCAUCCCGGAGAUGCCCGGCAGCCAGAGGCCUGGUUCCCCCAUUCUCUGAGCAAGGUGGGCACCCAGUGGAUUCCAUGGCCACAAAACGAGCCUGAGUGUGCUGGGGGUGGCCCAUGAACUGCGACGCAGAAACACCCGAGUUCUCCCAAUACAGGAGCCACCUGAGUCCGAUGCGUAGCCAGAAAGGCUUGAAACUCAGGAAUUUCGAGUCAUUUUUAGUAUAAUGUAUAUGUCCCUAAGUCACCCUCACAGUUCCUGGUCUCCCCUCAUGCAAAUGGCCCACCCCAUCAAUCACCUCCCUUUACU